UACGUAGGUGGCAAGCGUUGUCCGGAAUUAUUGGGCGUAAAGCGCGCGCAGGCGGUCCUUUAAGUCUGAUGUGAAAGCCCACGGCUCAACCGUGGAGGGUCAUUGGAAACUGGGGGACUUGAGUGCAGGAGAGAAGAGUGGAAUUCCACGUGUAGCGGUGAAAUGCGUAGAGAUGUGGAGGAACACCAGUGGCGAAGGCGACUCUUUGGCCUGUAACUAACGCUGAGGCGCGAAAGCGUGGGGAGCAAACAGG
rnacentral:rRNA from 1 species